UAGGGAAUCUUCCACAAUGGACGAAAGUCUGAUGGAGCAACGCCGCGUGAGUGAAGAAGGGUUUCGGCUCGUAAAACUCUGUUGUUAAAGAAGAACAUAUCUGAGAGUAACUGUUCAGGUAUUGACGGUAUUUAACCAGAAAGCCACGGCUAACUACGUGUCAG
rnacentral:rRNA from 1 species